CUUCCCCCUAAUCCUCUAGUGGCUGUCUCAUUGACAGCUACUAGAGGCGCUUGCGUGCUUCUCACUGUGAUUUUCACAGUGAGAGCACGCAAGCGUCCAUAGGAAAGCAUUGUAAAUGCUUUCCUAUGCGACGGGCUGAAUGCGCGCGCAGCUCUUGCUGCGCAUGCGCAUUCAUCCGGCGGGGCGGAUCGGAGGCGGAGAGGAGGAGGAGAGCUCUCCGCCCAGCGCUGGAAAAAGGUAAGUUAUUACCCCUUUCCCCCUUCCAGAGCCGGG
rnacentral:lncRNA from 1 species